GGGUUUAUAGCUUAGUGGUAGAGUACAUGCUUAGCAUGCAUGAUGUCUUGGGUUCUACCCCCAUUACCUCCA
rnacentral:tRNA from 1 species